AUGUCAAGGCCGGGAGUCGCCGCCAUUUCUCCUUCCUUGGUUUCCAUCUGCUGUGCUCCGAUGAGCACCCCCUCGUCGUUCCGCGUGGUCUGCAUCUGCUCGAACCCGCGAAGGGUCCGUGCCGCCGUCUUCUCGUCGGAGACGUGGGAUUGGGUCGUCCACCCGUGGGUGCACGUCGGCGGUAACCGCAGCCUGAAGUUCAAUGCUGGUACGCUGGCGAAUGGUUCCAUUUACUGGCCUGUGGACGGUGAACCCCUCACGAUUAGGAUAAACACGGCCACCAUGGAUGUCUCCUCUGUGGAUCUACCCUCUGAAGUGAAGGUGCACGGAUUCAAUUUCAGCGCCGGGGACACCAAGGAUGGCCAACUAUGCAUCGUCUAUGAAUCGGAUUUCUUCCUUCAUGUUUGGAUCCGUGGCGUGGACGGUGAUGGAAUCGAGAUUUGGGUCCCGGACACUGUAAUCGAUUUGAGUGCAGAAAUUGAUCGGGUCACUCAUGGGUUCGCUCUCGACUUGCACGGCGACCUCAAGGUUAUGGAAGUUAGGUCUGGAUACAUCUACUUGUCCACGACAUGCUUGACCCCUGCUGGCACACUCCACUGCUGGUUCUUCUCCCUUUCAUUGGAGACCUUGGUGCUUGAGUUACUGGUCUCGGGGAAAUUUGACGGUUGUGCCCAUCUGUAUAAUAUGGCCUGGCCUCCUUCUUUGGUUGGUGAUGAUGGAAGCACUGGACAUGAAGUUGAAGGUUCUCAUUGA
rnacentral:rRNA from 1 species